rnacentral:misc_RNA from 1 species
GAAAUGCGAUAAGUAAUGUGAAUUGCAGAAUUCCGUGAAUCAUCGAAUCUUUGAACGCACAUUGCGCCCUCUGGUAUUCCGGGGGGCAUGCCUGUCCGAGCGUCAUUGCGAACCCCUCAAGCACGGCUUGUGUGAUGGGCCCUCCCGCGUCUUGGUCGUCAAGACGGGCCCGAAAAGCAGUGGCGGCUUCGCGGUUAUCCGAUCAGCCAGAGCGUAUGGGGACUUUCUCUCUGUCACACGCCCGCGGCGCGGACCGACGCCUGUCGACCUUUAUUCAUCUUUUUCUCGGUUGACCUGGGAUCAGGUAAGGAUACCCGCUGAACUUAAGC